GACGAACGCUGGCGGCGUACCUAAUACAUGCAAGUUGAGCGCUGAAGGUUGGUACUUGUACCGACUGGAUGAGCAGCGAACGGGUGAGUAACGCGUGGGGAAUCUGCCUUUGAGCGGGGGACAACAUUUGGAAACGAAUGCUAAUACCGCAUAAAAACUUUAAACACAAGUUUUAAGUUUGAAAGAUGCAAUUGCAUCACUCAAAGAUGAUCCCGCGUUGUAUUAGCUAGUUGGUGAGGUAAAGGCUCACCAAGGCGAUGAUACAUAGCCGACCUGAGAGGGUGAUCGGCCACAUUGGGACUGAGACACGGCCCAAACUCCUGCGGGAGGCAGCAGUAGGGAAUCUUCGGCAAUGGACGAAAGUCUGACCGAGCAACGCCGCGUGAGUGAAGAAGGUUUUCGGAUCGUAAAACUCUGUUGGUAGAGAAGAACGUUGGUGAGAGUGGAAAGCUCAUCAAGUGACGGUAACUACCCAGAAAGGGACGGCUAACUACGUG
rnacentral:rRNA from 1 species